rnacentral:lncRNA from 1 species
UGAAAUUGAUAUAUGCAUUUGAGUGCUGCUUUUAUUAACUCUAUUUCAUUGACAGUAAUUAUAUCGAAUUAUAGAUAUCAUGAAUGUGGAAAGUAUGUAUAAUGACAAUAGAACAAUCGUCUUCAGUACACUAACUACUUUUGUAGGAGGAAAUAAUAUGCAUGAUUAUAUUUCAGUCAAUGACACUCCCAACUUAUUCAGCAC